CAAUAAGCUGGGGGCAGAAGUAGCAGUGAGCUUAAGUAGCCAGGGGCAGAGGAAGUUCGUGGGAAGGUAUCUUGGAUGGAGAGUCUUGGCUUGUGUCUGGUCCUGGGCAGCCUCCGUAGGGCACCAUUGUUAAGAUGCCCGUGUGUUCCCAACCCCUUCCCGGGACGUCUGGUCUGACAAAGGACUCCUUUCUGAUUCGUGUUUAUUUCUACUGAAAGCCUUCUAGAAGACUACUGGCUGGCUGGAUACAGAGGAACCAGUGAAGGAUUCUAAGCUCCUAGAAGAUGGAGGGACCACUGGAUGGAAGGAGUGGGUCCUGAAUCACUAUGUGGUACACUGUCAUACACUUGAACUGAUGUCAGGUAGACUUCAGGGAUGGCAACCGGUUGGCAAUGAGAAGGGGCACUGAUGAGCCAGGAGGUCAGGCAGCACCUGACACCAAUCAACAGGGAAAGGAAACCAGUCACCACAAGGAAACAUCCUCAUUCCUCCCUUGCAGCACAGUGAACCAGCUGUCUCAGU